rnacentral:rRNA from 1 species
CGUAGGGUGCAAGCGUUAAUCGGAAUUACUGGGCGUAAAGCGUGCGCAGGCGGUUUUGUAAGACUGUCGUGAAAUCCCCGGGCUCAACCUGGGAAUGGCGAUGGUGACUGCAAGGUUAGAGUUUGGCAGAGGGGGGUAGAAUUCCACGUGUAGCAGUGAAAUGCGUAGAUAUGUGGAGGAACACCGAUGGCGAAGGCAGCCCCCUGGGUCAAAACUGACGCUCAUGCACGAAAGCGUGGGGAGCAAACAGGAUUAGAUACCCUGGUAGUCCACGCCCUAAACGAUGUCUACUAGUUGUCGGGUCUUAAUUGACUUGGUAACGCAGCUAACGCGUGAAGUAGACCGCCUGGGGAGUACGGUCGCAAGAUUA